GCACUCGUAGCUCAGCUGGAUAGAGCAUCGGAUUUCGAUUCCGAGGGUCGGGAGUUCGAAUCUCUCCGAGUGCGCCA
rnacentral:tRNA from 10 species